rnacentral:rRNA from 1 species
CAGCAGCCGCGGGAAUACAGAGGAUGCAAGCGUUAUCCGGAAUGAUUGGGCGUAAAGCGUCUGUAGGUGGCUUUUCAAGUCCGCCGUCAAAUCCCAGGGCUCAACCCUGGACAGGCGGUGGAAACUACCAAGCUGGAGUACGGCAGGGGCAGAGGGAAUUUCCGGUGGAGCGGUGAAAUGCGUAGAUAUAGGAAGGAACACCAGUGGCGAAGGCGACUACCUGGACUGAUACUGACACUGAGGUGCGAAAGCGUGGGGAGCAAACAGGAUUAGAUACCCCCGUAGUCCCUGUCUCUUAUAC